CUGAAGGGGGAAAAAAAAAAAAAAGGGUUCGAAAUGGCUUUUCUAGCCGGUCUCUUGCAGCACCGGCAGUCUGAUUCAGCUCGGACUGAGUUCGUCGGGGUGAAUGCAUUCGAUUCCGCUGCUUCUCAGUGGUUUGUGCACCGUUCGAAUAUGUUGAUCAUCAAUUGAUUAGGCUGGCCCUGUGGGCAAUCUUGAAUUCAAACUUGACGUUGAAUGAGUGAUUAGUGUGUCCUUUGGCACUUGAAAGGAAUGAGUUGGAAGAGCUACGGUUAUCACCUCAGAAUGCUUCGGAGUUAAUUCCGGGUGGACUAAAUGCUUUUGACUUGAAACUGAAACUGAUGUUGCAGAUACCGCAAAUCAAGGAACAGAAAGGUGUUCAUGUCAUUUUUGCAUUGCUAAUGAUGCCCCUUGUCUCCUCACAAGAAAGAAAGAAAGAAAGAAGAAUGCAUGAAGAUGCUAACCUCAGGCGGCUUUACCCACAUUUGCCCAUCAUACCAUCCACUCUCUUCAUAAGGUAUCACUGCCGAUAGAAGUCUAUCACCAACAUAACUCCAUCCCUGCAAUAUCAUUAUGCAAAAUUGUUUAUUAGUUCUAUGAAUACUGGUGAAGAAAUAGAGGUUUUAUAUUUAAACCUGAUAGCUAUUUAAAAGUUAUGCAUGUUCUGGUUGUGCAUGCCUAUAUUGCCUCUAGAUCUUUCUAAUUUUGUAGUUCAGAUGCUCUACCUCUUGUUUGGUUAUUGGGAUUAGCUUGUUGGUGUGGUUGAACUAAUGUGCAAGUUUUUCUGUUUGAAUCCAUGUUCUCUCCCAUAAAGCAUUUUUGCCUCCAUGUUGUCAUAGUUAGAAGAAUUCAAUAUUAUUCAUAAGAAUUAUAGUACUGUUGAAUCUGUCAAUAUGUGAAUCUAACUUAAAUAUCUUGAAAGGUGGUGCUUUUGUUUCCUUGGCUGUGCCCAUAAAUCUCCGAGCUAUUUGUAAAAAAUAAAUAUGUUUACCCUGCACAUUUGACUGGUAAGUGAAUGAUAAAUAGUUGAAAUAGUGAUCUCGAAGACUUUCCAGAGCUAUUCUUGAUUGUAAUCGGAGGGCAACAGACCAUUCUAAUGUUUUUGAAUCUAUUAUUUCCUACAUAGCCUUUGUAGUCAUUCUCUCCAGAAAUUAUCCCGUUAGUGCUUGCCGUCGAAGUUACAUAACAUACAUGCACUAUAGAAAUGAAACUACUGUAAUGUGAAGAAGAAGAAGAAGAAGAAGAAGAAAAUACCAAGUAAAUUCUUAAGACAAUUAAUGACACAAGAAAAAGAGUUCCUGUUCCAGCAGCUAGCACAAAUCUUAGAGGUUCCUGCAAAGGUUCAAACAUGGAAAUUAGUGAAUAUAUAUUCACAAAAAGAUCUUUCAACCAUUGAAACAUCUCUUGCUGGUUUGCAUGAGUCUGUUCUGAUUGAGCCUAUGGUCUCUGUGCAAUUUUGCAAAGAUCAAGUGUUGUCCUAAAUAUAGCAGCAGUGAAAUUAUAUUACUAGUAGGCUCUGUGCUCUUUUGCAAAGAUGGAGUAUUAUUCUAAAUAUAAUCAGCUCAUGGAUUUUAAGACAGUGUUCUUAUAAAUGUGAUGGUUCAUUUGCAGUCUCGGUCUGCUCUUAUUCAGAUAAUAUUUAUCCAAAAUUUAUUCACAAAAUUGCCCAAAAAAAGUGGAUGCUUUUGUACACAAAAGUGGCCAUUUUUAGUUUGAUCUUACCCUUGAAGGAUUAAAGCUUGCAGCUGCAAUUGGCACUCCCAGAGAUGUGAAAGCUACUAACCAGAGGCCUCCAAGACGAAGGAAAAAGGCCCCGGGAUCAAGUUCACCCCAUGAAUAUAGGAUUCCAUCUUUUAGAGAGGAGUACUCAUUCACCUGUAACAGAAGCAAAUAACUGAGUGUGAAUUGAUUGUGAUACAACGCACAAUACACCUGACUCUCUUGUAUGAGUCCUCUCAACCCAUAACAUGCUUCACCCGUGAUCAUGCUUUCCUAAUUAUACUCUUUCAUUCCUUUAUUUAAAUAUCAGUGUCGUUGAAAAUUUUGAAAAGUGAUGCAUUUCGCAGAAAGUUAAUAUUACAGGUUUGCAUGACAUUUAAGGGGGAUCAUGUAUGCCUUUUUACCCAUCAUUUAGUGGUUUUAUUUUUCUAAUAUGCAGGGGCAGAAAGAAGUUUCUGUAACAUCUAUUGCUGUGUUUGUGAUAACAAGUGCUGAAGUACAUGAUUACAGUCUAAACAUACCGGCCUUUGCUCGAAAGGAACCUCAAUUUCCAGUCCGGGAUUCCAGUUCCGACUUGGGAAUCCACUUGUUCCCCCAUCUUUUUCAUCUUUCAAGGCCUUGACGGAAGUCCCUUGACAACGUCUCCAAGCCCUGUGAUACUGAAUGAUCCAUGAACCGUAGCUGCCUCCAAGCUUGACUUGGCUUGAACUGGGAAUCAGAGAGCAAUACACGUUUACCCUGAGCAUUUGUUUCCAGAAUCGGAACUACUAUGAUAGUUGCAGCAGCAGAGGUAAUAUGCUGAAUUUGUUUCCCUAUUCAGUUCUUGGUUAGAAUUGGAGGAAGAGAAGUGAAAGAAGAAGGAUCUUAUGCCCUGUAUCCUUUUAGGAACCAUAUAUUAUUUACGUGGAGGCAAAUGAUGGAUACAAAUUCACUUAAUGGUUUUGUUGCUUCCUUACUGGGACCA